rnacentral:rRNA from 1 species
UACAGAGGUCUCAAGCGUUGUUCGGAUUCAUUGGGCGUAAAGGGUGCGUAGGCGGCUUUGUAAGUCAGUGGUGAAAUAUGGCAGCUUAACUGUCAAGGUGCCAUUGAUACUGCGGAGCUUGAGUACAGAUGAGGUAGGCGGAAUUGACGGUGUAGCGGUGAAAUGCUUAGAUAUCGUCAAGAACACCUAUAGCGAAGGCAGCUUACUAGGCUGUAACUGACGCUGAGGCACGAAAGUGUGGGGAGCAAACAGG